rnacentral:tRNA from 1 species
GGUGAUUUGGCUCAGUGGUAGAGCGCUUGCCUAGGAAGCGCAAGGUCCUGGGUUCGAUCCCCAGCCCCG